CCGCUCUGAAGUGUAACAGCAUAAAACAGAAGCUAUUAUUUCUCCCAGCGGUUGGGUAGUUUCCUGACCAAGGUGACAACACAAAGGGAUGGGGAGAGGUGAGCUGUGGCCAGAAACCACAAGUUAGCAGCAGGACCAGAGCUGCUGCCCCUGGUCAAAGCCCGGCUGUUGCGUACAAAGCUUGAUUUUGCCGCCAAAAAGAUUGGAUGAUUCAUAACAUCCCGGUCACUGAUUUUCCUGGUUCCUAGGCUCCAGUGGACACUAUGUCCAGAGGCCUCUUCUAGAGGAGACUGGGAUCCGCACUGCAGCCAGGUCACCUGGAGAGGCCGGUGGAGUGGACGAAGCAGGCAAAGGCGGCAACAGAGUAGAGGUGCUGUCCAGGAGCUUCCGAGUCUCAGUCCCCACCAGGCGGGGCUGGGAGGCUCCCAGCGGCCGUCUGGCCUGCAGAUGCCACCAUGGAUACAGCAGAUCAAAUGAUGCAAGCAGUUACUGCCCUUUUACAGUUCAAGUGACAUCCAGGCCCCGGUGGACGCCAAGACCUCUAGGAGUAGAAGCCAGCGUCUCUACAGGCAGCUGUCACAGGAAUUCAACAGUGAGCGCCCCACGGCAGGUCUGCUCAGGUUCCCUCUACUCUUGCCCCAACCCCCAAGGUGUCUGUGUGUGCGAUCACCACAGCCAGCCCUACGCUCCAUUUUACAAAUGGAGAAACAGAUCAGAGCAGGGUGUGAGCCCUCCAAUUUCACACCAGCAACUGGUUGACCCCUGAGGAGACUCCAGGCCACCUGACAUGCAGUCACACCUUCCACACCUCUGGUUGUCUCCUUGUUUGGUGGCCUGGUGGGAGGGCAGAAGAGCCAGGGGGCAUGGCUGUUCAGCUUUGAUUGAUAGCAACCAUCAGUAAUCUGUUAGAUAGCCACAAACUAUCAUGGGCUUCACACUGAAACCUCAUAUCAACUCUGGAAGUAAAUUGUCUCAUUUGUCAUAACAGGACUCUGAGUCUCUGAAAGGCUAAGACUUGCCUGAGGUCCCCAGGCUGGGACACCAUGGAGCUGGGAGGACUUGAAUAGUAGUCCACAUGCUCUUGGCCCAUGGCUUCACUGUAGGUCUCUUGCAAGCACCAGGCUAUGGGACAUGCUUUUGGAAGUUCUGGAAGCGACUCCCGGUGGCCAAGCGGUGUCCACUGUGGUUGAGGGUGGGUCAGGGAAGGGUUCAGGUUGUUGAGAGUCCUGUGGGCCUCAGGACAGAGGGGGUGACUGACCUGAUUCUCCUGCCUGGGCUGCCCACCCUGACCCUCUCAGACAUUCCUCAUCGUAGGUGAAAUGGGGUAUUCCCAGAGGAGUGGGGUGUGGUCAGGGCGCAGGGAAGACAAAGGAUUUAUAAGCUAGAGACCCCCAGCAUGCCUGUCACGACCCGGCCCAGGGUGCUCUUCACCCCGAGAUGAUCGUGCACAUGGGGGGUCUCCUCCUUCCUCC
rnacentral:lncRNA from 1 species